CACGUAGGGGGCAAGCGUUGUCCGGAAUCAUUGGGCGUAAAGAGCUCGUAGGCGGCUCAGUAAGUCGGGUGUGAAACCCUCAGGCUCAACCUGGGGACGCCACCCGAUACUGCUGUGGCUAGAGUCCAGUAGGGGAGUGUGGAAUUCCCGGUGUAGCGGUGAAAUGCGCAGAUAUCAGGAGGAACACCGGUGGCGAAGGCGGGUCACUGGCCCGGUACUGACGCUGAGGUGCGAAAGCGUGGGGAGCAAACAGG
rnacentral:rRNA from 1 species